AGAUAACUUCAAACUCUUUGAGAACAGUGG
rnacentral:piRNA from 1 species